AGGUCAGUCACAGAUUCCUAAACAUGAUAUUGUAGUAGUAGUAGGCUACUUUGUUGAAGAAGAGUUUUUUUUGUCCAGCCGUUUAAACUCAACACAUGAAUGUGGAGGAUCCAAGAUGAUGAAAACUAGGCCUAAACAUUUUGUACAACACAGCAGGCAUAUAGACUUACCCGAUCCAUUGUGGAAGCUAGUGUUUAUUUGUAUGGCGUGACAUGUUGUAGGGUACAGUACAGUUGAACUACUUUGUUGUAGUGUUCAGAUAAUGAUUCUCAAGGCUGCGACUGAUGCGCCCCUAGACCAGAGCAAUCAAACAUCUAUUUAAAUAUCAAAACGUAAAUAAGUUAGAACAAAUAAACGUCUCAUGUAGCCUAAUAUUACUUCAGAAAGUUCCUGGAUAAAAUUUGACGUGAUCUAUUAAAGUGAAGAAAACGUUCAACACCCCCUUUCCCUAAGAAUCCUGUUGUCUGAUAUCGUCUACUUUUACCUGACAGCCACUUGGAACACAUGCGCAAAGAGGAAGUAUCUCAACAGGCUUCUCUCUCGCGAGGGAGUAUCUGGUUCUCGAACAACAUUGUCCUUGUGCGCCAAUUAGUUCAUAUUAGUGGGAAUCUAUUUACACGGAGAGGAAUUAUGGAAAGAUACAACUUUGAGGUUUGGACGUCACUCUACAGAUGGACCCUCUAUCCUGACACCUCUGGAGCAGUGCUGCAGGAUCUGUCACUCUACCCUCCUGUGUCUGUCUGCGUCUCCUCUCCCUGCCCCAGUACAGUCUGAUGUCAUGAGGGACUCUUUUUCAUGAUCCUCUAUUCCCGUGGCCCCUCUCCACCCUGGACCAUCGCCUAGCAACCGUGCUCAGAACCUUUGAGCCGUUGCCAGGAUCAACAGUGUAGCCUCCAUGGACGAGCCCUGCCACAAACGGACCAGCUGACAUGAUGUCAGUGAUUCUUUCGUUGACACGGGUGUGAGUGUUGACGAGGACAAGGCUGGAGAUCACUGUCAUGCUGAUUGAGUUUGAAUAACAGACUGGAAGCUUCAGGAGGGUGGUGCUUGGAACCAUUGCCAGUAAGAUUGUACCUAAAUCAACCAUUUAUCGGAUCAUCAAGAACUUCAAGGAGAGCGGUUCAAUUGUUGUGAAGAAGGCUUCAGGGCGCCCAAGAAAGUCCAGCAAGCGCCAGGACCGUCUCCUAAUGUUGAUUCAGCUGCGCGGGUCUGGGGUACCACCAGCACAGAGCUUGCUCAGGAAUGGCAGCAAGCAGGUGUGAGUGCAUCUGCACGUACAGUGAGGCAAAUACUUUUGGAGGAUGGCCUGGUUUCAAGAAGGGCAGCAAAGAAGCCAUUUCUCUCCA